AGGAAGGAGAAGUCGUAACAAGGUUUCCGUAGGUGAACCUGCGGAAGGAUCAUUGUCGAAACCUGCACAGCAGAACGACCCGCGAACACGUUCGAACACCGGGGGAGCCGCGCGCCGCGGGGCCGCUCCGGCGCCGCCCCGCGCGUCUGCCCCUCGCCCCCUCUUCGGGGGGGGCCAAACGAACCCCGGCGCGGAAAGCGCCAAGGAAUACUCAAACGAGAGCCCUCCGCCCGUGCCCCGUCCGCGGGGCGUGCGGGCGGAUGCGUGCUUCUUUCGAAACCAAAAACGACUCUCGGCAACGGAUAUCUCGGCUCUCGCAUCGAUGAAGAACGUAGCGAAAUGCGAUACUUGGUGUGAAUUGCAGAAUCCCGUGAACCAUCGAGUCUUUGAACGCAAGUUGCGCCCGAAGCCGUCAGGCCGAGGGCACGUCUGCCUGGGCGUCACGCAUCGCGUCGCCCCCCGCACGCCGCUCGGCGUCGCGGGGGCGGAUACUGGCCUCCCGUGCGCCUCGCGCCCGCGGCCGGCCUAAAUGCGAGUCCACGUCGACGGACGUCGCGGCAAGUGGUGGUUGUAACUCAACUCUCUUGGUGCCGCGGCCACAGCCCGUCGCGCGUGCGCGCUCCACGGCCCCUCCGGCGCUAGCGCGCUCCGACCGCGACCCCAGGUCAGGCGGGAUUACCCGC
rnacentral:rRNA from 1 species